CCUAGCCGUCCCGCCUGCCCCGAGUGUUGUGGAGAGUUUCUGAGAGAGAGCCCCUGAGAAGGCGAGCGGGCGCUUUCGCGGGCUCACACGGAGGGGCUGGGUAGGGAGAGGAGCCGCGCGGGCCGGGGCGGCGGAGAGGCCGGACCGAAGUCGUCAGUGGACACCGCCACCCCUCGGUCGGACCUCGAAGUGGACCUGCGCGCUCACCUGAAAUUCAUUGAAAUCUCUUGCUGGCCAAUCAUCAACUCUUUCCAAGCUGAGUGUUCUUUACUGUUAUACAGGACUAUCAUGAAGAUGCAUUGAAAGUUACACAGCACUGGAGGAGUGUGAUAUCCCUUUCAGUUGGUAAUCCUCCUGUCAUGAAAGUUGCUUGCCAGCUUUACUUUUGAAUGAACACAGUAAACAC